rnacentral:rRNA from 1 species
UAAAUUGAAGAGUUUGAUCAUGGCUCAGAUUGAACGCUGGCGGCAGGCCUAACACAUGCAAGUCGAACGGUAACA